UACGAAGGGGGGCUAGCGUUGCUCGGAAUCACUGGGCGUAAAGCGCACGUAGGCGGAUUGCUAAGUCAGGGGUGAAAAUCCUGGAGCUCAACUCCAGAACUGCCUUUUUGAUACUGGCGAUCUUGAGUCCGGGAGAGGUGAGUGGAACUGCGAGUGUAGAGGUGAAAUUCGUAGAUAUUCGCAAGAACACCAGUGGCGAAGGCGGCUCACUGGCCCGGUACUGACGCUGAGGUGCGAAAGCGUGGGGAGCAAACAGGG
rnacentral:rRNA from 1 species